GCCCCUGUAGUUCAAAGGAAAGAACAGCUUCCUCCUAAGGAGCGGAUCCAGGUUCGAUUCCUGGUAGGGGCA
rnacentral:tRNA from 1 species